UACGUAGGGGCGAGCGUUGUCCGGAAUGAUUGGGCGUAAAGGGCGCGUAGGCGGCCUGUCAAGUCAGUAGUGGAAGUCCGUCUUUCAAGGAUGGAAGUGCUACAGAAACUGAUGGGCUUGAGUGCAGGAGAGGUUAUCGGAAUUCCCGGUGUAGCGGUGAAAUGCGUAGAGAUCGGGAGGAACACCAGUGGCGAAGGCGGGUAACUGGACUGCAACUGACGCUGAGGCGCGAAAGUGUGGGGAGCAAACAGGAUUAGAUACCCUGGUA
rnacentral:rRNA from 1 species